rnacentral:lncRNA from 10 species
UCCCUAUGUCUUCGCACCAGUUUCUCUCUCACACACACACAUACACACACACACUCUCUCUCUCUCUGUCACACACUCUGUCACACACUCUCUGUCACACACACACACACCUUGGAUGAACAUCACAUCACACAGCUGUGAACAUUCACAUCACAUAUACACCUCCUGAACAUUCACAGCACACACACACAUGUCCCCCAAGAGCUUUAAAUAUUCUCAUCACACAUACACAUAGUCUUGAAUGUUCGCAUCACACACAAACACUUGGGUGUUUGUUCCUAUCACACACAGGUAUAAAGCUUGUUCUCCGUCUGAUACAUGCAUACCCUUGAACGGUCACACUAAAACACACACAUGCACACUCUGCCGACACACCUUUGAAGCUGAUAUAAUACACACGCGUAUUCUUGAACGUUCACGUCACGUGUAGGCUUGAACAUGCACCUCACACACUGGG